UUAGUAGAGAUGGGGUUUCACCAUGUUGACCAGGAUGGUCUCAAUCUCCUGACCUCAUGAUCUGCCUGCCUCAGCCUCCCAAAGUGCUGGGCUUACAGGUGUGAGCCACCAUGCCCAGCCCAAUAAAUUUGUUCUUACAGCUUCUUUCAAUUUGACAGUGUAAAUAAAACACCUUGUUCAUGGAACAAUCCUAAAACUGGGGCUCACUUGAACUUUAUCAUCAUUGAAACCAGUAUGUUUAUUUUACUGACCAGGGUCCCAGUAGGUGAUGGGUGAAGGCAGCUUUUCAAAGGGAAGUAUGUGAUGAGACAUGUCAGAUAAUUCCUAAUUUUUAUGGGGUCACACAUGAAUCCUAAGCCCACGACAUUUGCUAAGCAAAGAAUUGGUGUGUGUUUUGUUUUAGUGAAAAUCUACACCCUUGGGAGCAGUACCUUUGUGUUAAUAUGUCCUAAAGUGUGUAAAGAAAAAAGAAGAACCUGUGAUUUCAAGGAAACAGCUACACAGAGUAGACAAGUGCAGAGUUUGAAGAGGACUGGCUCAGGGACCAGGUAAGGCACCGGGCCCACUGGAUGACAGCAAUACCAGAGUUUUUUCUCGACCCCUUCAUCAUACCUGUGACAGGGGUGCCAACUUACUCGGCCCGCCCCACUCAACCUCUUGUGGGAGGGAUCACAUGAGCAAGCGAGUUCAGAAUCCGGCCAGCAGCUUUGGACUCCAGCAGGAGCAGGCUCCGUGCAGGCCCCAUGGUGGCGCCCAGGUGGGGUGUCUGCAACCCCCAAAGCCCCAGAGGGCAUGUUACAAUGCUCUAUUAGCUCUGCCAUCCAUGGACAGCGGUAUGUUACCAGCUCAGUGGGGCCCUUGCCUCAUCCUGUGGGGUGGCUGCCCUCUGCCAGCAAGGGCAAAGGGCAAGUGUGACAGCCUUUGUUGGGUACCCACACUCCAUGAGUCCCGAGCUCUCUUUGGCAUCCAAGAAGAAUGAGGUUGCCCAGAUACUUGAAGGAUGGUGAAGACGGAGAAUUUUAUUAAGCGAUGGAAAUGGCUCUCAGCAGAGAGGGGAGCUGGGGAGGUGACAGGAUGGGCAGGUACUCUUCCCUAAUGUCCAGCCGUCUCUGGCUGGCUUUUCUCUGAAGUUAAGCCAUCUGUCCUUCUAGGGCCAACCAUCCCUCUGAAAUCAAGUUCCCUCCCUUAAGUCAAGCUGCUUCUCUCUCUACUGACUGAGUCUGUGGUCUUUAUAGGCACAGGAUGGGGAGCAGGGUGGGCCAUAGGUAGUUUUGGAAAAGGCAACAUUCAAUUGGUAAAAUUUCUGAUUCAAUUCAGAAAGAAUCAGUCAAGAGAGAGUUGGCACACAGGGAUAGAAGUUUUCACUUUGGGCCAUGGGUUUCAUGCUUUUCGGCUGGAAGGUGGGACUUCACCAGGGACCUGCCCUGUCUGCCUAGAGUUUCUCUGCCUUCUGUCUCUAUCAACAGGGUACUGUUGGGAGUGAUGUAUGGUCAGAAAAGAUAAACAGUAUGACUCACAGUUUAGGUGAAGAUGAGUCUCCUAGGCUGGUACUCAAUAUCGUGCUCAGCAGAACUCUCACACCAGUACCUGCUCAAAUAGGGAAUGAGAAAUAACUUUUCCCUGCCAAGGCCCCCAAAGGACAAGCGUUGUGUGUCCCACUUCAGUACUGAGACUCCUGCUAGAAUGCCUGGGACAACCUGACGGUGAAUAUCCUGGCCUCAUCUUAUUCCUGGUGCCUCUCCUGGAGUUCCCUUCUGAAGAGCCUCAGCAGCAUUAGGAAUCUGGAGUCUCAAACACCUGCCAGUGAAUGGCAGUCUCCAGAAUUUCCUAAGAACUGUUAAUGUGAAAACAUAGAGAUUAAAGGUGGAGGUUCUUGGAAUUCAUAAGGCCUUGGAAUGUGCAGUCUGGGGGCCACCUCUUACAGAGGACGAGCAUAGUAAGAGACCAAGAAAGAACUACUACUUGUGGCGUGUGUUCUGUGCCAGGAUUAAGCGUGCUACUUCACCUUCACAGUCUCUCCACUUGGCAGAGUUAACCGUCCUCUGUUCCAAAAAAAUAAAAUUCAGAAAGGCAAAUUUAUGCACAGAUACACAUAGAUAGUGUAGCCCAGGGUUGCUGGGUUCUGGGUAUGCAUUAUUGUGAAAAUGUAUCCACUUGUAACUAUUGCACUUUGAAUUCUUGUUUCAACAAAACUUCUAGGAAGAAGCUCCGCCCAGGAAAAACAAAACUAAUGGGAUCCAGAGAUGUCUGAGUUGGAGAUGAACUUUGGCGAACUCCACUCAUCACCAUACUAACCUCCAAGCCCAGGGAGAAGCUUAUUGGCCAUUUUCUCUACAUGUGACAUAUGUAGAGGCAUGAUCGGUGGCCAUGCCUGUGCUGCCUAUGUGCCACCUCUACAUACAAUGAUUCAGUUAACCAGACCAAUAAAAGCCCUGUGUUCACCUU